UUGUCAAUGAAAAAUAUUUAAUUUAAAGGUGGCCUGGAUGUCUCUCUUCCUUUUGUUGGCUUAUUAAAUCAAUUUUCAAAAUGCUAAGUUUAAUUGAUAGACACAAUUAAUAUUUUAACACUGUUAGCUUUGAAUUGAGCAUUGACUGCAUACAAUGCUGAUUUUGAAAUCAUGAAGGAAGAUGUUAGAGAUUGUCCAAAACAACGUCUAUAUUUUACCUGAUUUCUUCAUGAUAUUUUUGCUAUUAUAUAUAACCUGAUUUUUUUGGCUGAAAGUAGUCAUUGCGUUCGAUAUUGCUAUGGCAUCGAGUCAAUCAUCAUCCUCUGUAAUUAAUUGUGAUGAAAUUGAAUUACCGAGUUGUUGGUGUGAUUUGAAAUCGCCAUUAAAGAUCUCCCACACCCACAAAAAUCCUGGAAGGAAAUUUUAUGCUUGUCCGAAAUAUUACACGCUAGAACCAAGAUGUCAAUUCUUCAUCUGGGAAGAUAUAUUUCAAUCAGUGGUACAUGAGAAUGUAAACAAGAUAAGAGAGAAUGAACUUCGGAAGAUGGAGGAUGCUUUAUUGUUGCGUGAAUAUGAAGCUCAAAAAGAAAAGGACAAACUAGUAGAGAGAGAGCAAAUGCUUAACAAGCAAGAGGGCGAACUUGGGAGAAGGAUAGUAGAGAAUAGGAUUGGUCGUAUUUUCUUGUGUCUAUUUUGGAUUGUAUCUCUUGUAAUAGUUUGGUUCUAAAUGUAGAUGUGUCACGAAAUGUUUUAGAUGUAAAUAACUUUAUCUUA